AAUGUCGUAACAAGGUUUCCGUAGGUGAACCUGCGGAAGGAUCAUUACGCAUAGGGACUGGCAGCCGAGUCCCCACCUAGCGAAAAUUUAGGUGGGGUAAGGUGCGCCAGCAACCCCCCUGAGCAUAUCGCCGGGCCACCCUGCCUUUUGAGCACCAUUUUCGUUUUCCUCGGCGGGCUUGCCCGCCACUGGGGACCCUCAAAAAGCCUUUUGGUAAUGGAAGUAACAGUAUCAUAAAAAACUUUAUCACAA
rnacentral:misc_RNA from 1 species